GUCCACGCCGUAAACUAUGAGUGCUAGACGUUGGGGGCUUGCCUCUCAGUGUCGAAGCUAACGCGAUAAGCACUCCGCCUGGGGAGUACGGCCGCAAGGUUAAAACUCAAAGGAAUUGACGGGGCCCGCACAAGCGGUGGAGCAUGUGGUUUAAUUCGAAGCAACGCGCAGAACCUUACCAGCCCUUGACAUGGGAAGUAUGGGUUCCUGAAAGGGAAUCCUUCAGUUCGGCUGGCUUCCACACAGGUGCUGCAUGGCUGUCGU
rnacentral:rRNA from 1 species